UACGAAGGGGGCUAGCGUUGUUCGGAAUUACUGGGCGUAAAGGGCGCGUAGGCGGUGCCUCAAGUCAGGCGUGAAAGCCCCGGGCUCAACCUGGGAACCGCGCUUGAGACUGGAGUACUAGAGUUCGGGAGAGGAUGGUGGAAUUCCCAGUGUAGAGGUGAAAUUCGUAGAUAAUUGGGAAGAACACCGAUGGCGAAGGCAGCCAUCUGGACCGACACUGA
rnacentral:rRNA from 1 species